rnacentral:pre_miRNA from 1 species
GUUGAUGGGAAUGUUGUUUGGCUCGAGGUAACUAUAACUCAAUUUCUUCGUCUUUGAACUAAACAUAGUUUCAAAGGUUUGAUUUUGAAUGAUAUAUAUCUAUUUAUCUAUUUAUCUCGGACCAGGCUUCAUUCCCGUCAAC